AAAUUGAAGAGUUUGAUCAUGGCUCAGAUUGAACGCUGGCGGCAGGCCUAACACAUGCAAGUCGAACGGUAACAGGAAACAGCUUGCUGUUUCGCUGACGAGUGGCGGACGGGUGAGUAAUGUCUGGGAAACUGCCUGAUGGAGGGGGAUAACUACUGGAAACGGUAGCUAAUACCGCAUAACGUCGCAAGACCAAAGAGGGGGACCUUCGGGCCUCUUGCCAUCGGAUGUGCCCAGAUGGGAUUAGCUAGUAGGUGGGGUAACGGCUCACCUAGGCGACGAUCCCUAGCUGGUCUGAGAGGAUGACCAGCCACACUGGAACUGAGACACGGUCCAGA
rnacentral:rRNA from 1 species